UGAGUACGAGAUGCUACGGCAUCGAAGCAGUCUAUGUCAUACUUCCAAGAAAAGCUUGCACUGUCAUAAACAAAGAAUGCCUGUACCAUAACCGACACAGGUGGGUAGGUAGAGUAUACUAAGGGGCGCGAGAUAACUCUCUCUAAGGAACUCGGCAAAAUGACUCCGUAACUUCGGGAGAAGGAGUGCCUUAUUUCUAAGGUUGCAAUAACAAGAUCCAAGCAACUGUUUACCAAAAACACAGGUCUCCGCUAAGUCGUAAGACGAUGUAUGGGGGCUGACGCCUGCCCAGUGCCAGAAGGUUAAAGAAGUUGGUUAGCAUUAGCGAAGCUGAUAACUGAAGCCCUGGUGAACGGCGGCCGUAACAAUAACGGUCCUAAGGUAGCGAAAUUCCUUGUCGGGUAAGUUCCGACCCGCACGAAAGGCGUAAUGAUUUGGAUACUGUCUCGGAGAGGGGCUCGGUGAAAUAGACUUGUCUGUGAAGAUGCGGACUACCUGCACCUGGACAGAAAGACCCUAUGAAGCUUUACUGUAACUUGAGAUUGAAAUUGGACUUUAUUUGCGCAGUAUAGGUGGGAGGCGUUGAGAAUAAUCUUGCGGGAUUGUUGGAGCCAUCAGUGAGAUACCACUCUUGUAAUGUUAGAUUUCUAACUUUGUAUCAUUAUCUGGUCAAAGAACAGUUUCAGGCGGGCAGUUUGACUGGGGCGGUCGCCUCCCAAAGGGUAACGGAGGCGCACAAAGGUUUCCUCUGAACGGGUAGAAAUCGUAUCUAGAGUGUAAAGGCAUAAGGAAGCUUGACUGUGAGACCUACAAGUCGAGCAGGGACGAAAGUCGGUCUUAGUGAUCUGACGGUGCUGAGUGGAAAGGCCGUCACUCAACGGAUAAAAGUUACUCUAGGAUAACAGGCUGAUCUCCCCCAAGAGUUCACAUCGACGGGGAGGUUUGGCACCUCGAUGUCGGCUCAUCGCAUCCUGGGGCGGUAGUCCGUCCCAAGGGUUGGGCUGUUCGCCCAUGAAAGCGGUACGCGAGCUGGGUUCAGAACGUCGUGAGACAGUUCGGUCCAUAUCCGGUGUAGGCGUUAGAAUAUUGAGAGGAGCCUUCUCUAGUACGAGAGGACCGAGAAGGACAUACCUCUGGUGUACCAGUUAUCGUGCCAACGGUAAACGCUGGGUAGCUAUGUAUGGAGUGGAUAACCGCUGAAAGCAUCUAAGUGGGAAGCCCACCUCAAGAUAAG
rnacentral:rRNA from 1 species